rnacentral:rRNA from 1 species
GACGAACGCUGGCGGUGUGCUUAACACAUGCAAGUCGAACGGUAAGGCCCUUUCGGGGGUACACGAGUGGCGAACGGGUGAGUAACACGUGAGUAACCUGCCCUCAUCUCUGGGAUAACAGUCGGAAACGGUUGCUAAUACUGGAUAUGAGCUUGCAAGGCAUCUUGUGGGUUGGAAAGAUUUUUUUUGGUUGGGGAUGGACUCGCGGCCUAUCAGCUUGUUGGUGAGGUAGUGGCUCGCCAAGGCUUCGACGGGUAGCCGGCCUGAGAGGGCGACCGGCCACAUUGGGACUGAGAUACGGCCCAAACUCCUACGGGAGGCAGCAGUGGGGAAUAUUGCACAAUGGACGGAAGUCUGAUGCAGCAACGCCGCGUGCGGGAUGACGGCCUUCGGGUUGUAAACCGCUUUCAAUUGUGACGAAGCUUUUUUGUGACGGUAGCAGUAGAAGAAGCACCGGCUAACUACGUG